AUACCCCCUUAAUCAACAGGACCCUGUCUGUCAGUUUUANGUUGGGGUGACCACGGAGCACAAAUAAACCUCCAUGAUGAACUGGACUAACCCAUUAUCUAAGAAAAACACCUCAAAGAAUUAGCACACUAACAUAAAAUGAUCCGACACUCGAUCAACGAACCAAGUUACCCUGGGGAUAACAGCGCAAUCUACUUCAAGAGCCCAUAUCGACAAGUGGGUUUACGACCUCGAUGUUGGAUCAGGGUAUCCUAGUGGUGCAGCAGCUACUAAAGGUUCGUUUGUUCAACGAUUAAAACCCU
rnacentral:rRNA from 1 species